GCCUGCGUGGCUCAGUCAGUUGAGCGUCCGACUUCAGCUCAGGUCAUGAUCUCGCAGUUUGUGGGUUCGAGCCCCGCAUCGGGCU
rnacentral:tRNA from 1 species